rnacentral:rRNA from 1 species
AGUUUGAUCCUGGCUCAGGAUGAACGCUGGCGGCGUGCUUAACACAUGCAAGUCGAACGAGAAUCCAGUGAAGGAGUUUUCGGACAACGGAUCUGGAGGAAAGUGGCGGACGGGUGAGUAACGCGUGAGCAAUCUGCCUUGGAGUGGGGAAUAACGGUUGGAAACAGCCGCUAAUACCGCAUGAUGCGUCUGGGAGGCAUCUCUCUGGACGCCAAAGAUUUAUCGCUCUGAGAUGAGCUCGCGUCUGAUUAGCUUGUUGGCGGGGUAAAGGCCCACCAAGGCGACGAUCAGUAGCCGGACUGAGAGGUUGGCCGGCCACAUUGGGACUGAGACACGGCCCAGACUCCUACGGGAGGCAGCAGUGGGGAAUAUUGGGCAAUGGGCGCAAGCCUGACCCAGCAACGCCGCGUGAAGGGAGAAGGCUUUCGGGUUGUAAACUUCUUUUCUGAGGGACGAAGAAAGUGACGGUACCUCAGGAAUAAGCCACGGCUAACUACGUG